UCCAAUCCAAACUCAGUUAAUGAAAUUUGAAGUGUCGAGAAGUAAAAGAAUAAUAUUUUCCAGGUAAACUUAUAACCAAAAGAGAAAACCUAUAGGCUCGUUCUGACCUCAACCUCUCACCAAACCAAAGUAUUAUCUUAUCCACAAAACAAAUGGACCAAAACACAUUGACCCUACUUACAAAAAUUCCAACCGCACUGCCUACUGAAGUGAAGGUAGGAGCAGAGUUUCAGGAAUCAAAAGCAAAGCACCAAAUCCAUUCAACCUUACAGCAAUGGCAGCUUCUUCAUCUUACCUUACCUUUUCCACAGUGAGUAUGCUCGGAAAUCGUAGCGCAAGGCAGCUCAGAAACAGGAGUGUAGUUUCAGUUUCAGCACAACCGCAAGAAGCUCAGGUCCAGGAAACACAGGAGGAGGAGGAGAAGAACGACCAAAAACAAGAGAUCACCACUCCAGCAAAGCAGUCCACGAGACCGAGACCCGUGGAGAAACAAAUAAAUGUGCAAAACAAGAACAUGACCAGAGAGUAUGGAGGGCAGUGGCUCAGCAGCACCACCCGCCACGUUAGGAUCUACGCUGCCUACAUUGAUAUCGAGACUGAAACUAUGGAUCAAACCCAGAUGGAUAAGCUCACUAUCAUCCUUGAUCCCACCGACGAGUUUCUCUGGAACGACGAGACCACCACCAAGGUGUACUCUUACUUCCAGGAGCUUGUCGAUAACUACGAGGUAAACACUUCUUAUCCUGUUCAUAUAUCCUAUUUCCAGAAACUAUGAGCUAAACUACUGUUGAUGCAGGGAGCUCCAUUGACAGAAUACACGCUGUAGUAACCAAAUUUUGUCCGGGUUGUAGAGUUCGUAUUAACCUCUUGCUACCAAACGACGCUUACCGCUUCUAUCCGAUGACUUAAUACUCGAGUCAGUCUUUUCUAGCAACCCUUACUCCCGUUCGUCUAGCUUUUAAAGAUACGCUUAAGGUUGCUAGAGUAUCAUUGGUAACUAUGUAUUUCAAAUCACCAUAAUUUUUUUACAUUUAAAGUUACAAAAGAAUUAGGGUCAAAUGCAAAAACUCAAGUUUCAUCGAAACAUCACAAUUUGAUAUUUAAAAUACCAAAUACACCUAUCCAAUCCAAACUCAGUUAAUGAAAUUUGAAGUGUCGAGAAGUAAAAGAAUAAUAUUUUCCAGGUAAACUUAUAACCAAAAGAGAAAACCUAUAGGCUCUUUCUGACCUCAACCUCCCACCAAACCAAAGUAUUAUCUUAUCCACACAAAAAAUUGACUAAAACUCCUCGACACUACUUACCAAAAUUCCAACCAAACUGCUUACUCAAGUGAAGGUAGGAGCAGAGUUUCAGGAAUCAAAGGCAAAGCAUCGAAUCCAUUCAACCUUACAGCAAUGGCAGCUUCUUCAUCUUACCUUACCUUUUCCACAGUGAGUAUGCUCGGAAAUCGUAGCGCAAGGCAGCUCAGAAACAGGAGUGUAGUUUCAGUUUCAGCACAACCGCAAGAAGCUCAGGUCCAGGAAACACAGGAGGAGGAGGAGAAGAACGACCAAAAACAAGAGAUCACCA
rnacentral:lncRNA from 1 species